GCUGGGCAUGGUGGCGGGUGCCUGUAAUCCCAGCUACUUGGGAGGCUGAGGCAGGAGAAUUGCUUGAAUCCGGGGGGCGGAGGUUGCAGUGAGCCGAGAUUAUGCCACUGCACUCUAACCUGGGCAACAGAGCAAGACUCUGUCUCAA
rnacentral:SRP_RNA from 1 species